AUUGAACGCUGGCGGCAUGCUUUACACAUGCAAGUCGAACGGUAACAGGUCUUCGGAUGCUGACGAGUGGCGAACGGGUGAGUAAUGCAUCGGAACGUGCCCAGUCGUGGGGGAUAACGCAGCGAAAGCUGUGCUAAUACCGCAUACGAUCUAUGGAUGAAAAGCGGGGGACCGUAAGGCCUCGCGCGAUUGGAGCGGCCGAUGUCAGAUUAGCUAGUUGGUGGGGUAAAGGCCCACCAAGGCGACGAUCUGUAGCUGGUCUGAGAGGACGACCAGCCACACUGGGACUGAGACACGGCCCAGACUCCUACGGGAGGCAGCAGUGGGGAAUUUUGGACAAUGGGCGCAAGCCUGAUCCAGCAAUGCCGCGUGCAGGAAGAAGGCCUCGGUUGUAAGCUCUUUGUUCAGGGAAGAAACAAGACAGCUCUAACACAGUCUGCGAAUGACGGUACCUGAAGAAUAAGACACCGGCUAACU
rnacentral:rRNA from 1 species